CCCCCUCCACACACACUCAGGAAUGCGCGGGCAGGCGCCAUUGCCCAGAGUUCAGCUCAAGCACUUCUCAUCGUGAGCACCUGUCGGAUAUCUUCGAGGCAACUUGAUAAUGAAAGAUCAAUGGAUAGCUUUGUCACUACACCGUUGACAGAGUGGCAGCUGGCAGAUGUGGUAGAAAGAUUUAAAGAGGAGGGGAUUGAUGAGGAAACAAUUAAGCAGUUGAUUCCAAGAGCAGGCCCUAGACUCCAGUUUCUCAAGAAAUUUAGAGAACUUGUACGUAGUUAAGUGACUAGUUGGAGGGUUCUCUUCUUUUAGUUUUUGCUUAUUUUGAAUAUAUUUUUUUAAAAGAUGACAUUCAAAUGCUUUAAGUGCAAAAAGCAAAUUUCAGGGGGCAUCAAGGGUCUUUUUUUAUUCAUUUGUGUGGGGUACACCAUGUACACUCAGCAUCAACCCACUUCCAGUGUUGUGAAAGCGGUUGUGGUCGGACAUUUUCUUAUCUAUAGUCUUUUAGACGACACUUAGAAGAAGAAAAAAAAAAACAAAAAUCCUUCAAAAUACUCUUGAUGACCCAUUAGAAGGUCCAGCCCCACCCAGCCACAAUGUUCAAAUGAUGAAAUUGAGCCAGCCCUGGAAGAAUGUGUCAUUUUAAGAACUUUUUUUGAUGUUUUUGAGGUUUUGUCACACUUGUUUGAUCUCUGAAGAUGAUUCUGUCAUUCUCAAAUUACUUGUUUUUCUUGGCUGCUUUAUUCACAAUUUCCUUAUCAUAUUAAUCUAUUUUUGUGCUAUUUAGGGGCUUAUUCAAUGUUUUUCUUGGCUGCUUUAUUCACAAUUUCCUUAUCAUAUUAAUCUAUUUUUGUGCUAUUUAGGGGCUUAUUCAAGGUUUUUAGAUUUGUGUAAAGCAGCAAAAAUGAGUCAAGAACAACAACCAAACUGAACAACAAAAACACCACCAAAACACAUCAAAAGAGUGACAUAAAAUCAAAACAUUCCCAAAAUGCAAAAAAUUGACCAGAUAUAAGCUAAAUUCACUAAAAAGUGCAAGAAAAGUGACAAAAAUACUAAAGCAUCAUUAAAAAAAUGCAAAUAAAAUGUGACAAAAACCAACAAAGAACUGAGAACAUGAUAACAUGAAGUUGAAAAGACAAUGGUGUUUUUGAGGAUUGAGAUGGAAAAUGAAUGAAUGAAUGAGAGGAAGGCGGGGGUUAAAGGGUCAAGCUUAAAUCUCGCAUGGUCAGUCCUAUAAAUGUGUUGGUCCUAAACUUCAAUCAUGAUUUUUUUCCUUAUGUUUGUCUGUUUUGCACAGUAUUUUGCCAAGUUUGCCUUGACUUUUUUAAUGUGUGAUUCACUCAUUUGCACUGAAUGUUUUACAAAUAAAUAUCAAGGCAGAGUAUUAUAAA